GAGAUGAAAUAAAUCAGAAGUACUUAUGGUACCAUAGACUAGGCCAUAUUGGAGAAGACAUGAUAAACAGACUGGAGAAGGAUGGGAUCCUUGGCUCUCUUAACCCAGAGCCAUAUCCAGCUUGCGAAUCCUGCUUCGAGAAAAGAUGGCCAAGUUACCUUUUGUAAGACAUGAGAAAAGGGCCACAGAGCUACUUGCCCUGGUA
rnacentral:lncRNA from 1 species